GACGAACGCUGGCGGCGUGCUUAACACAUGCAAGUCGAACGGAAAGGCCCUGCUUUUGUGGGGUGCUCGAGUGGCGAACGGGUGAGUAACACGUGAGUAACCUGCCCUUGACUUUGGGAUAACUUCAGGAAACUGGGGCUAAUACCGGAUAGGAGCUCCUGCUGCAUGGUGGGGGUUGGAAAGUUUCGGCGGUUGGGGAUGGACUCGGGGGUUAUCAGCUUGUUGGUGGGGUAGUGGCUUACCAAGGCUUUGACGGGUAGCCGGCCUGAGAGGGUGACCGGCCACAUUGGGACUGAGAUACGGCCCAGACUCCUACGGUAGGCAGCAGUGGGGAAUAUUGCACAAUGGGCGGAAGCCUGAUGCAGCAACGCCGCGUGCGGGAUGACGGCCUUCGGGUUGUAAACCGCUUUCGCCUGUGACGAAGCGUGAGUGACGGUAAUGGGUAAAGAAGCACCGGCUAACUACGUG
rnacentral:rRNA from 1 species